CCUACGGGGUGCAGCAGUGGGGAAUAUUGGACAAUGGGCGAAAGCCUGAUCCAGCCAUGCCGCGUGUGUGAAGAAGGCCUUCGGGUUGUAAAGCACUUUCAGUGGGGAAGAAAGCCUUGGGGCUAAUACCCUCGAGGAAGGACAUCACCCACAGAAGAAGCACCGGCUAACUCCGUGCCAGCAGCCGCGGUAAUACGGAGGGUGCGAGCGUUAAUCGGAAUUACUGGGCGUAAAGCGCGCGUAGGCGGUCUGAUAAGCCGGUUGUGAAAGCCCCGGGCUCAACCUGGGAACGGCAUCCGGAACUGUCAGGCUAGAGGGCAGGAGAGGAAGGUAGAAUUCCCGGUGUAGCGGUGAAAUGCGUAGAGAUCGGGAGGAAUACCAGUGGCGAAGGCGGCCUUCUGGACUGACACUGACGCUGAGGUGCGAAAGCGUGGGUAGCAAACAGGAUUAGAUACCCUUGUAGUC
rnacentral:rRNA from 1 species